UCGAGCGGAUGAAGGGAGCUUGCUCCUGGAUUCAGCGGCGGACGGGUGAGUAAUGCUUAGGAAUCUGCCUAUUAGUGGGGGACAACAGUUGGAAACGGCUGCUAAUACCGCAUACGCCCUACGGGGGAAAGGAGGGGAUCUUCGGACCUUUCGCUAAUAGAUGAGCCUAAGUCAGAUUAGCUAGUUGGUGGGGUAAAGGCCUACCAAGGCGACGAUCUGUAGCGGGUCUGAGAGGAUGAUCCGCCACACUGGGACUGAGACACGGCCCAGACUCCUACGGGAGGCAGCAGUGGGGAAUAUUGGACAAUGGGGGGAACCCUGAUCCAGCCAUGCCGCGUGUGUGAAGAAGGCCUUUUGGUUGUAAAGCACUUUAAGCGAGGAGGAGGCGCCCUAGAUUAAUACUCUAGGAGCGUGGACGUUACUCGCAGAAUAAGCACCGGCUAACUCUGUGCCAGCAGCCGCGGUAAUACAGAGGGUGCGAGCGUUAAUCGGAUUUACUGGGCGUAAAGCGUACGUAGGCGGCUUUUUAAGUCGGAUGUGAAAUCCCUGAGCUUAACUUAGGAAUUGCAUUCGAUACUGGGAAGCUAGAGUAUGGGAGAGGAUGGUAGAAUUCCAGGUGUAGCGGUGAAAUGCGUAGAGAUCUGGAGGAAUACCGAUGGCGAAGGCAGCCAUCUGGCCUAAUACUGACGCUGAGGUACGAAAGCAUGGGGAGCAAACAGGAUUAGAUACCCUGGUAGUCCAUGCCGUAAACGAUGUCUACUAGCCGUUGGGGCCUUUGAGGCUUUAGUGGCGCAGCUAAC
rnacentral:rRNA from 1 species